AUUGAACGCUGGCGGCAGGCUUAACACAUGCAAGUCGAACGAGUGGCGGACGGGUGAGUAAUGCUUGGGAAUCUGGCCUAUGGAGGGGGAUAACGACGGGAAACUGUCGCUAAUACCGCGUUCCAUAGGAUUAGCCCAAGUGGGAUUAGGUAGUUGGUGGGGUAAUGGCCUACCAAGCCGUCGAUCUCUAGCGGGUCUGAGAGGAUGACCGGCACACCCGGGACUGGGACAGGGCCCGGACUCCAACGGGAGGCAGCAGUGGGAAAUAUUGCGCAAUGGGGGCAACCUAACGAAGCCAGGCCGCGUGAAUGAAGAAGGCCUUCGGGUUGUAAAGUUCGUUCGGUGAGGAGACGUUAAUCACAGAAGAAGCACCGGCUAACUCCGUGCCAGCAGCCGCGGUAAUAC
rnacentral:rRNA from 1 species